GGAGGGUGCAAACGUUGUUCGGAAUCACUGGGCGUAAAGGGCGCGCAGGCGGACCUGUAAGUCAGGAGUGAAAACUCGGGGGCUCAACUCCGAGCCUGCUUCCGAAACUGCAAGUCUUGAGGGCCGGAGAGGAGAGUGGAAUUCCUAGUGUAGCGGUGGAAUGCGUAGAUAUUAGGAAGAACACCAGUGGCGAAGGCGACUCUCUGGACGGUUCCUGACGCUGAGGCGCGAAAGCUAGGGGAGCAAACAGGAUUAGAUACCCUGGUAGUCCUAGCCGUAAACGAUGAGUGCUAGGUGGUGGUGGUUUCAACGCCUUCACUGCCGGAGCUAACGCAUUAAGCACUCCGCCUGGGGAGUACGGCCGCAAGGUUG
rnacentral:rRNA from 1 species